rnacentral:rRNA from 1 species
UACGUAGGGCGCAAGCGUUGUCCGGAAUUAUUGGGCGUAAAGGGCGCGUAGGCGGCCAGGUAAGUUUGGUGUGAAAGCUCGGAGCUUAACUCCGAAAAGUCAUUGAAUACUAUCUGGCUGGAGGGUCGGAGGGGAGACUGGAAUUCUCGGUGUAGCAGUGAAAUGCGUAGAUAUCGAGAGGAACACCAGUGGCGAAGGCGAGUCUCUGGACGACUCCUGACACUGAGGCACGAAAGCCGGGGGAGCAAACAGG